rnacentral:lncRNA from 1 species
AAUGAUGCAAGGGUUUUUCUAGAAAACACUAGAGAUGAAAAUAUCGACACCCAAUAGGCGUCGAUGGACCAGAAAAUGACUAAAGUAAACUUCUUUCUCUAACUACAAUUAACCUCAAUGGCAUGAUGAUAUUUGUAAGAAAUCAAAUUAAACCAAAAUGUAUUAGCUAAUUCAAUUGUCAGGUAAACCUUCAGCCAUACAAAGCUUCCACCUCAGUUUAAUUUCAGAAGUAAGUUAUUCAAAAAUCAUACUGCGAAUUAAAGAAUUUCAUAUAAAAAUUAAGGGGUAAUAUGCUAGAGGUCCUUAGUUGGAAAUAUAAUUAGAUGUGGAAUACAACCCUAAUAUUUUUUUAUGAACUAAAUCCUUUUUAGAAAGAAAAAAUAUGAUUCACAUCCUCAAAUUUUCUUUUAUCCCUAAUUUGCCCUUCACCUAAAUCCAUAAAUUUUAAAGUCACAUUUCUCUAAGAUUCUCUCUCUCUCUCUCUCUCUCUCUCUCUCUCUCUCUCUCUCUCCACCACUCCAAUCCAUUAUUGAGGGAGGGCGGUGGAGACGGCGGCAAUAAGAUGAUGGUUAUAGAGGCAAGGAGGCAGCGACUAUGGUGUUGUAAGGUCCGAUCUAUGGUGGAAGGCGCGGCGAUGGUGUUGGGCAUGGAAGAUGGCGUUGGUUGACGGCGACGCUCGGUGUUGGGGCGGUGUAAGGGCUUUGGAAAUGCGGUGUAGGCUCGGUGUAGGUGCUGUGUAGGCUCGGUGUAGGUGCGAUGUAGGGAUGGUGCUGGGCAUGGAGGAUGGCGGUGCAUGGAGGAUGUCGUUGGCUGACGGCGACGCUAUGGUGGUGGUGUUGGAGCUAUGGUGGUGGUGUUGGAGCGGAUAUAGGGUUCGGUGGGGAAAAUUUAAGAUUUUUUGAUUUGGAUGUCUACAGUUGUCUAUGGGUGUCUAUGGGUAUCUGGCGGCUAGGGUUCAAAGGAGGUGUUAGGGUUUCAAGAUGUUUAUGGGUGACUACGGAUUACUACGGUUGCUACGAACGAAAAAAUUUAGAUUCUACGAACAAAAAAAAUUAAAAAAAAAUCAUAAUUUUCAAUUUAUGUAGAAAAUAAGGGAAAAAGUAGAUUUUUAUAUAAUGAAAAAAUACGAAAAAUGAAAAAAAAAACAAAGAAACAAACAAACAAAAAGAAAAACGUGUUCCACCACAAAAUUAAAAAAUAAAUGCUAGAUGCAAACUUAAAAUGUUAAAUAAUACCAUAGUUCAUCAUAGUAUAUUUACAAUCUGGUGUAAUUUAGAAUUUGUGAAUGGAGGGGCAUUUUUAGAAUGAAUUUAAUAAAGGAUGUGAAGAAAAUUUUAGUUAAACUUGUCAUUUAGUUCUAAUAAGGUUUGUCACCAGGGAAUUAUAUAAAGACCCAAAAGUUAAAUGCAACUAAAAAAUUUACACUUCUUUUAAUUAAUAAUUUCUUCAUAUAAGAAAAAUUUCACAAGCAACAGCAACAAAACUAUUUAAAAAGAAGUUGUAAAUCAAUUCAAUAUGCAACAUAAACAUAGAACCCUAAUUUUCAGCCUAAACAUAGAACCCUAAUUUUCAAUACCUUAAAUCGUUUCCUCCCUGGAUGUGGCACCCCGGUGAAGAGUGGUAGGCAUUCAAAGAAAGCAUCAAAAUAGAGGCAAUGAAUAAAGGAAAAUAACAUUUGAUGGGAUUGUAGGCGGAGAGGAGUUCUUUGAGGGGGCAGGGGUGUGGAAGGUUGAAGAGAGACAGCAGCGGAACUGUCACUGAAAGAGGAGAGAGGAGAUGAGAACCAGUACUUUUCUCUCUUCUGUGAAGAGGACUAGGAUGGGG